UUGCACUGAUUUNAACAAUGAAGCGAGUGGCGNACUGGUGAGUAACACGUGGGAAAUCUGCCCAGAAGCAGCGGGAUAACACUUGGAAACAGGUGCUAAUACCGUAUAACAACAAAAUCCGCAUGGAUUUUGUUUGAAAGGUGGCUUCGGCUAUCACUUCUGGAUGAUCCCGCGGNGUNUUAGUUAGUUGGUGAGGUAAAGGCCCACCAAGACGAUGAUACGUAGCCGACCUGAGAGGGUAAUCGGCCACAUUGGGACUGAGACACGGCCCAAACUCCUACGGGAGGCAGCAGUAGGGAAUCUUCCACAAUGGACGAAAGUCUGAUGGAGCAAUGCCGCGUGAGUGAAGAAGGGUUUCGGCUCGUAAAACUCUGUUGUUAAAGAAGAACACCUUUGAGAGUAACUGUUCAAGGGUUGACGGUAUUUAACCAGAAAGCCACGGCUAACUACGUGCCAGCAGCCGCGGUAAUACGUAGGUGGCAAGCGUUGUCCGGAUUUAUUGGGCGUAAAGCGAGCGCAGGCGGUUUUUUAAGUCUGAUGUGAAAGCCUUCGGCUUAACCGGAGAAGUGCAUCGGAAACUGGGAGACUUGAGUGCAGAAGAGGACAGUGGAACUCCAUGUGUAGCGGUGGAAUGCGUAGAUAUAUGGAAGAACACCAGUGGCGAAGGCGGCUGUCUAGUCUGUAACUGACGCUGAGGCUCGAAAGCAUGGGUAGCGAACAGGAUUAGAUACCCUGGUAGUCCAUGCCGUAAACGAUGAGUGCUAAGUGUUGGAGGGUUUCCGCCCUUCAGUGCUGCAGCUAACGCAUUAAGCACUCCGCCUGGGGAGUACGACCGCAAGGUUGAAACUCAAAGGAAUUGACGGGGGCCCGCACAAGCGGUGGAGCAUGUGGUUUAAUUCGAAGCUACGCGAAGAACCUUACCAGGUCUUGACAUCUUCUGCCAAUCUUAGAGAUAAGACNUUCCCUUCCGGGGACAGAAUGACAGGUGNUGCAUGGUUGUCGUCAGCUCGUGUCGUCGGAGAUGUUGGGU
rnacentral:rRNA from 1 species